GUGGCGAACGGGUGAGUAACACGUGGGCAAUCUGCCCUGCACUCUGGGACAAGCCCUGGAAACGGGGUCUAAUACCGGAUACGACACUCUCGGGCAUCCGAUGAGUGUGGAAAGCUCCGGCGGUGCAGGAUGAGCCCGCGGCCUAUCAGCUUGUUGGUGAGGUAAUGGCUCACCAAGGCGACGACGGGUAGCCGGCCUGAGAGGGCGACCGGCCACACUGGGACUGAGACACGGCCCAGACUCCUACGGGAGGCAGCAGUGGGGAAUAUUGCACAAUGGGCGAAAGCCUGAUGCAGCGACGCCGCGUGAGGGAUGACGGCCUUCGGGUUGUAAACCUCUUUCAGCAGGGAAGAAGCGAAAGUGACGGUACCUGCAGAAGAAGCGCCGGCUAACUACGUGCCAGCAGCCGCGGUAAUACGUAGGGCGCAAGCGUUGUCCGGAAUUAUUGGGCGUAAAGAGCUCGUAGGCGGCUUGUCGCGUCGGUUGUGAAAGCCCGGGGCUUAACCCCGGGUCUGCAGUCGAUACGGGCAGGCUAGAGUUCGGUAGGGGAGAUCGGAAUUCCUGGUGUAGCGGUGAAAUGCGCAGAUAUCAGGAGGAACACCGGUGGCGAAGGCGGAUCUCUGGGCCGAUACUGACGCUGAGGAGCGAAAGCGUGGGGAGCGAACAGGAUUAGAUACCCUGGUAGUCCACGCCGUAAACGGUGGGCACUAGGUGUGGGCGACAUUCCACGUCGUCCGUGCCGCAGCUAACGCAUUAAGUGCCCCGCCUGGGGAGUACGGCCGCAAGGCUAAACUCAAAGGAAUUGACGGG
rnacentral:rRNA from 1 species